GACGAACGCUGGCGGCGUGCCUAAUACAUGCAAGUCGAGCGAGUCUGCCUUGAAGAUCGGAGUGCUUGCACUCUGUGAAACAAGAUACAGGCUAGCGGCGGACGGGUGAGUAACACGUGGGUCACCUGCCCAAGAGAUCGGGAUAACACCUGGAAACAGAUGCUAAUACCGGAUAACAACAGAUGAUGCCUAUCAACUGUUUAAACGAUGGUUCUGCUAUCACUCUUGGAUGGACCUGCGGUGCAUUAGCUAGUUGGUAGGGUAACGGCCUACCAAGGCGAUGAUGCAUAGCCGAGUUGAGGGACUGAUCGGCCACAUUGGGACUGAGACACGGCCCAAACUCCUACGGGAGGCAGCAGUAGGGAAUCUUACACAAUGGACGCAAGUCUGAUGGAGCAACGCCGCGUGAGUGAAGAAGGGUUUCUGCUCGUAAAGCUCUGUUGUUGGUGAAGAAGGACAGGGGUAGUAACUGACCUUUGUUUGACGGUAAUCAAUUAGAAAGUCACGGCUAACUACGUG
rnacentral:rRNA from 1 species